rnacentral:rRNA from 1 species
GACGAACCGUGCGAACGUUGUUCGGAAUCACUGGGCUUAAAGGGCGCGUAGGCGGGCUGACAAGUCUGGGGUGAAAUGCCGCGGCUCAACCGUGGAACUGCCUUAGAUACUGUCGGCCUCGAGGGAGGUAGGGGCGUGCGGAACUGUAGGUGGAGCGGUGAAAUGCGUUGAUAUCUACAGGAACUCCGGUGGCGAAAGCGGCGCGCUGGACCCCUUCUGACGCUGAGGCGCGAAAGCUAGGGGAGCAAACGGG